CCAACAGCCCUGGAGAAUGAAGUCUUCCAUUUAUCUACAGCAGAAAUAUGACACAUGCAGUAAAAAGUGCAAGAUUGCGUAUCUGUCAGCCAAAAGGCUCCGAUUUACGCAUGAAAACACCACCUUUCAGGGUGAAAAGAUAGGUCAGUCUCCAAGCCAAUUCAAGCAUUUGCCUCU
ensembl:misc_RNA